GGAAGUAAACGUCGUAACAAGGUUUCCGUAGGUGAACCUGCGGAAGGAUCAUUACUGAGUUAGGGUCUUUAUGGCCCGACCUCCAACCCUUUGUUUAAUCUACCAUGUUGCUAUGGCAGGCCCGCUUAGAAAUGGGCCGCCGGAGACCUUUGAGUCUCUGGUCAGUGCCUGCCAGUAGCCUUUCUAAAUUCAUUUAUAACCGUGUCUGAAUAUACAAAGAAAAAUUAAAAUAAAACUUUCAACAACGGAUCUCUUGGUUCUG
rnacentral:misc_RNA from 1 species